rnacentral:rRNA from 1 species
GGGUUGUGAGGUUAAGCGACUAAGCGUACACGGUGGAUGCCCUGGCAGUCAGAGGCGAUGAAGGACGUGCUAAUCUGCGAUAAGCGUCGGUAAGGUGAUAUGAACCGUUAUAACCGGCGAUUUCCGAAUGGGGAAACCCAGUGUGUUUCGACACACUAUCAUUAACUGAAUCCAUAGGUUAAUGAGGCGAACCGGGGGAACUGAAACAUCUAAGUACCCCGAGGAAAAGAAAUCAACCGAGAUUCCCCCAGUAGCGGCGAGCGAACGGGGAGCAGCCCAGAGCCUGAAUCAGUGUGUGUGUUAGUGGAAGCGUCUGGAAAGGCGCGCGAUACAGGGUGACAGCCCCGUACACAAAAAUGCACAUGCUGUGAGCUCGAUGAGUAGGGCGGGACACGUGGUAUCCUGUCUGAAUAUGGGGGGACCAUCCUCCAAGGCUAAAUACUCCUGACUGACCGAUAGUGAACCAGUACCGUGAGGGAAAGGCGAAAAGAACCCCGGCGAGGGGAGUGAAAAAGAACCUGAAACCGUGUACGUACAAGCAGUGGGAGCACGCUUAGGCGUGUGACUGCGUACCUUUUGUAUAAUGGGUCAGCGACUUAUAUUCUGUAGCAAGGUUAACCGAAUAGGGGAGCCGAAGGGAAACCGAGUCUUAACUGGGCGUUAAGUUGCAGGGUAUAGACCCGAAACCCGGUGAUCUAGCCAUGGGCAGGUUGAAGGUUGGGUAACACUAACUGGAGGACCGAACCGACUAAUGUUGAAAAAUUAGCGGAUGACUUGUGGCUGGGGGUGAAAGGCCAAUCAAACCGGGAGAUAGCUGGUUCUCCCCGAAAGCUAUUUAGGUAGCGCCUCGUGAAUUCAUCUCCGGGGGUAGAGCACUGUUUCGGCAAGGGGGUCAUCCCGACUUACCAACCCGAUGCAAACUGCGAAUACCGGAGAAUGUUAUCACGGGAGACACACGGCGGGUGCUAACGUCCGUCGUGAAGAGGGAAACAACCCAGACCGCCAGCUAAGGUCCCAAAGUCAUGGUUAAGUGGGAAACGAUGUGGGAAGGCCCAGACAGCCAGGAUGUUGGCUUAGAAGCAGCCAUCAUUUAAAGAAAGCGUAAUAGCUCACUGGUCGAGUCGGCCUGCGCGGAAGAUGUAACGGGGCUAAACCAUGCACCGAAGCUGCGGCAGCGACGCUUNNNNNNNNNNNNNNNNNNNNNNNNNNNNNNNNNNNNUGAAGGUGUGCUGUGAGGCAUGCUGGAGGUAUCAGAAGUGCGAAUGCUGACAUAAGUAACGAUAAAGCGGGUGAAAAGCCCGCUCGCCGGAAGACCAAGGGUUCCUGUCCAACGUUAAUCGGGGCAGGGUGAGUCGACCCCUAAGGCGAGGCCGAAAGGCGUAGUCGAUGGGAAACAGGUUAAUAUUCCUGUACUUGGUGUUACUGCGAAGGGGGGACGGAGAAGGCUAUGUUGGCCGGGCGACGGUUGUCCCGGUUUAAGCGUGUAGGCUGGUUUUCCAGGCAAAUCCGGAAAAUCAAGGCUGAGGCGUGAUGACGAGGCACUACGGUGCUGAAGCAACAAAUGCCCUGCUUCCAGGAAAAGCCUCUAAGCAUCAGGUAACAUCAAAUCGUACCCCAAACCGACACAGGUGGUCAGGUAGAGAAUACCAAGGCGCUUGAGAGAACUCGGGUGAAGGAACUAGGCAAAAUGGUGCCGUAACUUCGGGAGAAGGCACGCUGAUAUGUAGGUGAAGUCCCUUGCGGAUGGAGCUGAAAUCAGUCGAAGAUACCAGCUGGCUGCAACUGUUUAUUAAAAACACAGCACUGUGCAAACACGAAAGUGGACGUAUACGGUGUGACGCCUGCCCGGUGCCGGAAGGUUAAUUGAUGGGGUCAGCGCAAGCGAAGCUCUUGAUCGAAGCCCCGGUAAACGGCGGCCGUAACUAUAACGGUCCUAAGGUAGCGAAAUUCCUUGUCGGGUAAGUUCCGACCUGCACGAAUGGCGUAAUGAUGGCCAGGCUGUCUCCACCCGAGACUCAGUGAAAUUGAACUCGCUGUGAAGAUGCAGUGUACCCGCGGCAAGACGGAAAGACCCCGUGAACCUUUACUAUAGCUUGACACUGAACAUUGAGCCUUGAUGUGUAGGAUAGGUGGGAGGCUUGGAAGUGUGGACGCCAGUCUGCAUGGAGCCGACCUUGAAAUACCACCCUUUAAUGUUUGAUGUUCUAACGUUGACCCGUAAUCCGGGUUGCGGACAGUGUCUGGUGGGUAGUUUGACUGGGGCGGUCUCCUCCUAAAGAGUAACGGAGGAGCACGAAGGUUGGCUAAUCCUGGUCGGACAUCAGGAGGUUAGUGCAAUGGCAUAAGCCAGCUUGACUGCGAGCGUGACGGCGCGAGCAGGUGCGAAAGCAGGUCAUAGUGAUCCGGUGGUUCUGAAUGGAAGGGCCAUCGCUCAACGGAUAAAAGGUACUCCGGGGAUAACAGGCUGAUACCGCCCAAGAGUUCAUAUCGACGGCGGUGUUUGGCACCUCGAUGUCGGCUCAUCACAUCCUGGGGCUGAAGUAGGUCCCAAGGGUAUGGCUGUUCGCCAUUUAAAGUGGUACGCGAGCUGGGUUUAGAACGUCGUGAGACAGUUCGGUCCCUAUCUGCCGUGGGCGCUGGAGAACUGAGGGGGGCUGCUCCUAGUACGAGAGGACCGGAGUGGACGCAUCACUGGUGUUCGGGUUGUCAUGCCAAUGGCACUGCCCGGUAGCUAAAUGCGGAAGAGAUAAGUGCUGAAAGCAUCUAAGCACGAAACUUG